CAUUCAUAUCACUUGGCUGGAUGGAAGCAUUUCUCACUCAUUAUAUAUAUAGCCCUUGCUCCCUCACAUGCUCACACACUCACAGACAACACUGUGUUCACUGUUAGGUGAAGUAGCCGUGCAGUUGAGGCUCCGAUUCUGAGGCAAACAGCAGUUUUCUUGCUUCAAGAUUCAAAGGCCCACAAUCAAAAUUAGAGUGUUCUCAUACUGCUAUUAUUUUUUGCUGAAGCAUGGUUGCCUUUGGGAAAAAAUUGAAAGAACUACAAAUUCAAGAGUGGCAAGGCUACUAUAUUAACUACAAGUUAAUGAAGAAGAAAGUGAAGCAAUAUGUUCGGCAAAUUGAAGUUUCACCUCAAGAUCGUGAUUUUGUUCUGAUGGAUUUCUCAAGAAUUCUGGAUAAGCAGAUUGAAAAGAUUGUCCUAUUUCUAUUAGAACAACAAGGGCGACUUGCAAGCAGGCUGGCCUAUCUUGGGGAACAACAUAAUGGUCUUAUUCAGCAAUCAGAUGUUAUGAAGAUACCUGAAUUGCAGGAAUCAUAUAGAAAUGUGGGGCAGGAUAUGUUAAGGCUUCUCUUUUUUGUAGAGUUAAAUGCCAUUGGACUACGUAAAAUAUUGAAGAAGUUUGACAAGAGAUUUGGUUAUAAGUUCACUAACUACUAUGUCAAGACGCGAGCAAAUCAUCCUUAUUCCCAGCUGAGACAAGUGUUUAAACAUGUGGGAAUUUCAGCUGUUGUUGGAACUUUAUCUCGCAACCUCGCUGAUCUCCACGAUCAUCAAGAGACCUUCAUUUCAAUUUAUGAUCAGCCUGCAGUGCCUCUCCAAGAUCCUAUCAUCGAGUCUGUCAAAGCUGCAGUUGAUCGGUUAACAAAUUCAACAGACUUCCUCCAGUAUUUGGGAAAACAUGCACUUAUUCUGCAUGAGGAAUUACCAACUCCUUCAGAAGAGCAUGCAGUUGAUGACAGAUAUCAUUUUAUGUCUCUUCUUCUGAACUUGGCAAAUACAUUUUUAUACAUGGUGAAUUCAUAUAUAAUUGUACCAACAGCAGACAGCUAUUCAUUAAGUCUUGGAGCUGCAGCAACUGUUUGUGGGGUUGUAAUUGGGUCGAUGGCCAUUGCUCAGGUGUUCUCUUCAGUUUAUUUUAGUGCAUGGUCAAAUAAAUCAUACAUGAAACCUCUUGUAUUCAGCAGUGUUGUUCUUCUUGUUGGAAACACCUUAUACGCUUUGGCUUAUGAUCUCAACUCGAUAUAUGUGCUUCUAAUUGGUCGUCUAUUUUGUGGAUUGGGCUCUGCUAGGGCUGUUAAUCGACGUUACAUUAGUGAUUGUGUUCCUCUUAAGAUGCGAAUGAAGGCUUCUGCUGGUUUUGUUACUGCUAGUGCACUUGGAAUGGCCUGUGGUCCUGCUCUUUCCUGCUUGCUUCAAUCUAAUUUUAAGAUCUUCAUGAUUACAUUCAAUGAAGAUACUUUACCCGGAUGGGUUAUGGCUCUGGCAUGGCUUAUCUAUCUGCUGUGGUUGUGGAUAUCAUUUAAAGAGCCUUCGCACGACAAGGAAGUGAAUAUUGGGCAACAGAAAACAAAUUCGGGAGCGAAUGUGGGGAUUGUGCAGAAUGAUGUGAUCCAACCACUGCUUUCAUCCGUGAAAGAAAAGCAGGAAGAAGAAGAUGAUGAUGAAAAUGAAGAUGAAGAAAUUGAUAUUAGCAGAGAAAAUUCCACGGAAAUCCAGGAACCAGUCACUUCAAUUGUGACUGCGUAUAAGUUGCUUACACCCUCUGUAAAGGGCAUGAAAAUAAGGAAACUUUUCUCAUGCGUUACGUGUAAUUGUUUCAUCUAUGGAUUGGCAUUCUGUUUAACUUCAAUAAUACGACCAGGUACAACUACUUAUAUACUUUAUGCUCAAAUAUGCUAUGGAAGUUUUACUUGCCGAAUCAAGUGUUGUCACGGCCCAUUACUUCAUAUGGUCAACCAGCAAUGUGGCCAUUUUUCUGGCAUUUCUUGGCCUGACAGUGCUUCCAGUGAACAUUCUUGUAGGAAGCUACCUCAGCAACAUGUUUGAGGAGAGGCAAGUUUUACUGGCAUCGGAAGUUAUGGUAUGUAUGGGAAUAGCUCUGAGCUUCCAGCUGAUAAUCCCUUAUUCUGUCCCACAAUAUGUCUGUUCGGCUUUAAUUACAUUCGUAUCUGCUGAAGUUCUUGAAGGCGUAAACCUGUCUCUUCUAUCCCGAGUAAUGUCAUCACGGCUUUCAAAGGGGACAUAUAAUGGUGGAUUGCUUUCAACAGAAGCCGGGACUCUGGCUCGAGUAAUUGCAGAUGCUACAAUAACCAUAGCUGGAUACUGGGGUAUGAGCAGGCUCUUAAAUGUCACCCUGCUUCCUUCACUAUUAAUCUGUAUCUGUUCUAUUAUAGCUACCUGUUUUACUUACAAUUCUAUGUACUGAAUUAUCGUAAACCAAUGUAUAUAGAAUGAUCUCUCAUCAUCUAA